rnacentral:rRNA from 1 species
GAUAAUUUGCCCUAAGGUCAGGGAUAGCGUUGGGAAACUGACGGUAAAACCUGAUAGAAGAUUGAUACUGGAACGUUCUUUCUUUUAAAAGCAAUGCCUUAGGAUAAGUCGGCGGCUGAUUAGGUAGUUGGUGAGGUAAUGGCUCACCAAGCCUUGGAUCAGUAGGGGGGAUGAGAGUCCUUGCCCCGAGAAGGGCACUGAGAUACUGGCCCUAGCCCUAAGGGGUGCAGCAGGCGCGAAAACUUUACAAUGCGCGAAAGCGUGAUAAGGGAAUUCCAAGUGCUUGGCCUUUGAGUCAAGCUUUUGCCGAGUGUAAAAAUCUCGGAGAAUAAGUGGCGGGUAAGACGGGUGCCAGCCGCCGCGGUAACACCUGCGCCACGAGUGGGAGCCACUUUUAUUGGGUCUAAAGCGUUCGUAGCUGGAGUAUUAACUCCCUUGUGAAAUUGUUGUGCUUAACAUAACAUCGUGCAAGGGAAACUGGUACUCUAGAGACUGGGAAGAGGUAGGAGUAUGCCAGGGGGAGCGGUAAAAUGUUAUAAUCCUUGGUAGACUACCUGUGGCGAAGGCGCCUACCUAGAACAGGUCUGACAGUGAGGGACGAAGGCUAGGGGAGCAAAACGGAUUAGAUACCCGAGUAGUCCUAGCAGUAAACUCUGUGAACUAUGUGUUGCAUAAUCUUAGUGAUUGUGCAGUGCCUAAGCGAAGGCGUUAAGUUCACCACCUGGGAAGUACGGCCGCAAGACUGAAACUUAAAGGAAUUGGCGGGGGCUCACACAAGGAGUGAAGAGUGCGGUUCAAUUGGAGUCAACGCCGGAAAUCUCACCAGGAGCGACGGCAGGAUGAAGGUCAGAUUAAAGGUUUUACCUGACAAGCCGAGAGGUGGUGCAUGGCCGACGCCAGCUCGUGCCGUGAGGUGUCUAGUUAAGUCUAGCAACGAGCAAGACCCACAUCUAUUUUUGCCAACGGGCUCUACGGAGCGACCGGGGACAAUAUAGAGACCGCUGUCGUAAGACAGAGGAAGGCGUGGGCAACGUCAGGUCCGUAUGCCCCGAAUCUCCUGGGCUACACGCGCUCUGCAAUGGUAAGGACAAUGGGAUGCAACUCCGAGAGGAGAAGCAAAUCCUCUAAACCUUAUCUCAGUUUGAAUUGAGGGCUGAAACUCGCCCUCAUGAAUCUGGAAUUCCUAGUAAUCGGGUCUCAUUACAGCCCGGUGAAUAAUGUCCCUGAGCCUUGCACACACUGCCCGUCAAACCAACCGAGCGGGGCUUAGAUGAGGGUUACUUUUUUGAAUAAAACGAAUCUAAGUUCAGUAAGGUGGGUUAAGUCGUCACAAGGUA